UACGUAGGUGGCAAGCGUUGUUCGGAUUCACUGGGCGUAAAGGGUGCGUAGGUGGCUGGGAAAGUCUGAUGUGAAAUCUCCGAGCUCAACUCGGAAACUGCAUUGGAAUCUAAACGGCUAGAGGGUCGGAGGGGGGACUGGAAUUCUCGGUGUAGCAGUGAAAUGCGUAGAUAUCGAGAGGAACACCAGUGGCGAAGGCGAGUCCCUGGACGACACCUGACACUGAGGCACGAAAGCUAGGGGAGCAAACAGG
rnacentral:misc_RNA from 1 species